CCAAGUGUUCGACUUCCAGUACCACACAGAAAACAGCUUAACUAUUAAGAAAUUUCAACAAAAAGAAAAGAUUUGAACUAGACUGUCUGUGAACAUCAAGUUCAUCUUGAAAUUGUCCUCCCCCUUGCUUUCCACAUAACAAGCUUUCUAUGGGUCUCAAUGGCUGAAUGGACCUAAGCACAUAUGUUUUGCUUAAUCAGCAGUCAGGGUGAUGCAGAGACAAUYCACACAGCCUCCGUGAGCUCUGAGCACCCAGCAGCAGGCUCAGAUUUGACAGCUCCACAGGGAACGACUGUGAACAUCUGCAAGACACUACCCCCCACCAGGCAGAACAAAGCAGCUGAAACUGUACCUGAAAGUGCUAAAACACAAAGCUAUCAGGAAAUUGCUCUGAAACUGGAAACCUCCAGGAAAUUGACUGGACAAACUGCACACAACAUCCAAGGCUUAGUCAGAUGCUGACCACAAAUGACAGUGCUGACGAAGCCAGCGACUUCCUCAGGCCACUCCUGCUGCUUCCCUGAGGCUGGUUACCACCCCGGAUACCUGCUGGAUGAGCUACGCCUGUGACUGCUGCCUAACCCAUCUCAGGGAAAAAUGAUUCGAAGUAGUUAAGAUUACUUAAUCUAAUUAAGCAAGACAUGCUAAUACAUUCCCAAAAUAACUUAGAAAGUCAUCUAGAAGGAGCUGUGCUUGCAAGGGUGGGUUUCCAGAAGCUGAGGGGAGGCAACGAGCUGCUGUGGGGCAUGGACGGCUGCGGCAGCACGUUUUCUACCACUGCACUGGGCAGGGAAAACAACACGGGACUCUGGCCUCAUGCACUAUCCCACAGUAAGAUAACCUC
rnacentral:lncRNA from 1 species